rnacentral:lncRNA from 1 species
CUUUCUCCCCGACUCCCUGGCCAUGGGAUUCAGGAAAACAGGCAGUGAAAGGCUUCAACAGUUCCUUUCCAGUUUUCCACGGGGGCCCCAAGGAACGCCUGCGGCUGGAAUUCCCCGGGAGACAGGGAGCUGUAACAAUAGAGGUUCAUAUUCUAAAGAGAGCAGGCACUGAGCAAAUGUUUGUUGAACUGAACCAAUCUGCUAGUUAUGGGGACAUGACCUCCACUUCAUGGUGUUGAACUAAACAAACACAUACUUCUCCAGACAAAUAUUAAAACUGGUGAACUUCAAAAUAACGUGAAAAGCUCCUAUGUUUCCAUGCCUCAUUAUAUGCCACAAAAAAUCAAAUGAUAACGAGAACAAAGUAGGUUAUUUUGUUUGCUAUUUAACUUGUGUGCAGGUCUUCACAGAAUGAGAGGCAUACCAACACUCAUGACCCCAGGCUAGUUCUGUUCUUUGCCAGUGUGUGGUUUGGGAGUUCUGUGAAGUGUUUGCAGUCGCUACUAAUAAUCCAGGUGACACGGCAAACAUUGCAGUUCCUAGGUCCAGCACAAUUAGAGGAGGGUUCACUCGUAGGCAGCAUCUGAGCAACAGGCUCACCAGACUUCAGCCUCUUCACUCCGACUCUUCCACGCUCCAGCUCUCUUCAUUAAGAUAUUCUAGAAGCAACUGAGGAGUUUCUACAAACAUUUUGGAAAUUACAGCAGGUCAAGUGGAAGUUUGUUUUCAUUUCAGUUAAGGUACGAGUUGUUCUGACUGCUGUGCAGACAUUCACACGCCCGCUGCUAGAAAGCUGGAGCUGGAAGGAGCAUUGGGGCCCGCUGAGUCCUCCUUUCUCAUGUAUGGAUGCGGAUGUGGAGGCAGGCCCUAAGUCUUAGUGUAGGUGCCGAUGGUGCAGAUGGUGUUUCACACUGUCACCCAGGCUGGAGUGCAGUGGCAAUCUCAGCUCACUGCAACCUCUGCUUCCCGGGUUCAAGUGAUUCUCCUGCCUCAGCCUCCUGAGUAGCUGGGAUUACAGGCACAAGCCACCAUACCCAGCUAAUUUUUGUAUUUUUAGUAGAGAUGGUGUUUCAUCAAGUUGGUCAACCUGGUCUCGAACUCCUGACCUCAAGUGACCUGCCCACCUCAGCCUCCCGGAGUGCUGGGAUUACAGGCGUGAGCUGCCGCACCUGGCUGAAAACUUUAAAUCAGUGAAAGCUAUCUGAAUAGAUGGGAAACAACUGCCUAUUUUUGGUGUAAAAAGUGUCAAUCAUUUAUUUGUGAUUUAUAUGUAAGAGGGAAAAUGUUGCUGUCAUAUUUACUGAAAGAUAAAUGCUAAAAAAAGAAUAUGCCUUCUAUGUGGUUUUUCAUGUUUACUUGUGUACUUUUUUUGCUUAUGAAAUUUUGAGAAUAGUGUAUUAUUAGAUUCACACCCACUUCUUAAGUCGUGUGUUAUGAAGCAGUCACAUGUGUUGUGAAUUACUUAUGAAUAAUAAUGAUAGCUAACAUGAUUUCUUACUAGAUACUAUGCUACUUUAUCUCAUUUAAUCCUCAAGAUAAUAUUGUAAGAUAUAUACUGUGAUAUCCUCCUCAUAUUGUAGAUGAGGAAAUGGAUGCUUAGAUAGUUUAACUACCCCUCACGGAGCUGGAAAGCGUACAGGAGGGGCUCAAAUCCAGGUGUGACCAUUGUUCAACUGCAUUGUUAAACUGCACUUCACUGGCUUUUCACACGGUGCCUUGAUAAUUUCAGACUUGGAUAACUUCCAAUGAUGAGAAGCUUGGUAGACAUUUUCAGAGAGGAGGAGAUGAAAGCAUGACAAACAUUUUCUUUUUUUUUUAUUAUUAUAUUUUAAGUUUUAGGGUACAUGUGCACAAUGUGCAGGUUAGUUACAUAUGUAUACAUGUGCCAUGCUGGUGUGCUGCACCCAUUAACUCAUCAUUUAGCAUUAGGUAUAUCUCCUAAUGCUAUCCCUCCCUCCUCCCCCGACC